rnacentral:ribozyme from 1 species
AGCCUUAAUCUCCUAUCCCUACCUCCCCGUGGUGCCGCCUGGGAUACGAGUAACCGUAGGGAACCAACCAUGGUGGGACCUUGGUCGUAUGCUGACAGGGAAGG